rnacentral:rRNA from 1 species
CAAUAGCGUAUAUUAAAGUUGUUGCGGUUAAAAAGCUCGUAGUUGGAUUUCAGCCGAGGACGACCGGUCCUGCCUCGCGUAGGAACCUGGUUUGGCCGAGGCAUCUCUUGGUGUACGUGAUGGCUAUCGAGUUAGCUGCACGGACUCCAGGGCAUUUACUUUGAGGAAAUUAGAGUGUUUCAAGCAGGCAUCUGCCUUGAAUAUAUUAGCAUGGAAUAAUAGGAUAGGACUUCGGUCCUAUUUUGUUGGUUUCUGGGACUGAAGUAAUGAUUAAUAGGGAUAGUCGGGGGCAUUCGUACUUAACUGUCAGAGGUGGAAUUCUUGGAUUUGUUAAAGACGAACUACUGCGAAAGCAUUUGCCAAGGAUGUUUUCAUUGA